AAAAAAACAAACUCUGGGUUUCCAUACCCAACGUUGACUAUCUGUCUUAUAUAAAAAUUUUUAUAAUUAAUAUUUUCAUUGUUGUUAGAUGAUAAAACAUGAUUAAUAUUUUAUACGUGACUUGUCUUUUUAAUUUUUUUAACAAUUUUUUUAAAUAAGACGGACGGUUAAACGUUGAACACGGAGUCCUAAGGUU
rnacentral:pre_miRNA from 1 species